GACGAACGCUGGCGGCGUGCUUAACACAUGCAAGUCGAACGGAAAGGCCCAGCUCGCUGUGUGCUCGAGUGGCGAACGGGCGAGUAACUCGUGGGUGAGCUGCCUCUAACUUCGGCUUAAGCAUGGUCAACUGGCUCUAAUACCUGCUAGGUCAAUCUUCUAGCGUCGUGUGUGGAAAGUGUUUGCGGUUAGUGAUGAGCCUGCGGCCUAUCAGCUCGUUGGUGGGGUAAUGGCCUACCAAGGCGGCGACGGGUAGCCGGCCUGAGAGGGUGGACGGCCACAUUGGGACUGAGAGACGGCGCAGACGCCAACGGGAGGCAGCAGUGGGGAAUAUGACAGAAUGGCGGCAAGCGUGAUGCAGCGACGCCGCGUGGGGGAUGACGGCCUUCGGGUUGUAAACAUCUGUCGACAGAGACGAAGAUUUGGUGACGGUACCUGUAUAGGAAGCACCGGCUAACUACGUG
rnacentral:rRNA from 1 species